rnacentral:rRNA from 1 species
UGAUUAAAGUGGCGCACGGGUGAGUAACACGUAGAUAACCUGCCCUUCAGCCCGGGACAACCUUCUGAAAAGAGGGCUAAUACCGGAUAAUACCUAAGGUCGAGUGGCCUAAGGUUGAAAGAUUUAUCACUGAGGGAUGGGUCUGCGUACCAUUAGCUAGUUGGUGGGGUAAAGGCCUACCAAGGCAACGAUGGUUAGCGGGUCUGAGAGGAUGAUCCGCCACACUGGAACUGAGACACGGUCCAGACUCC